rnacentral:rRNA from 1 species
GCUUGCUCAGAUAUGACGAUGGACAUUGCAAAGAGUGGCGAACGGGUGAGUAACACGUGGGAAACCUACCUCUUAGCAGGGGAUAACAUUUGGAAACAGAUGCUAAUACCGUAUAACAAUAGCAACCGCAUGGUUGCUACUUAAAAGAUGGUUCUGCUAUCACUAAGAGAUGGUCCCGCGGUGCAUUAGUUAGUUGGUGAGGUAAUGGCUCACCAAGACGAUGAUGCAUAGCCGAGUUGAGAGACUGAUCGGCCACAAUGGGACUGAGACACGGCCCAUACUCCUACGGGAGGCAGCAGUAGGGAAUCUUCCACAAUGGGCGAAAGCCUGAUGGAGCAACGCCGCGUGUGUGAUGAAGGGUUUCGGCUCGUAAAACACUGUUGUAAGAGAAGAAUGACAUUGAGAGUAACUGUUCAAUGUGUGACGGUAUCUUACCAGAAAGGAACGGCUAAAUACGUGCCAGCAGCCGCGNNAUUAAA